rnacentral:rRNA from 1 species
UACAGAGGUCCCAAGCGUUGUUCGGAUUCACUGGGCGGAAAGGGUGCGUAGGCGGUCGGGUAAGUCUGACGUGAAAUCUUCAAGCUCAACUUGGAAACUGCGUCCGAUACUAUUCGGCUAGAGGAAUGGAGGGGAGACUGGAAUACUUGGUGUAGCAGUGAAAUGCGUAGAUAUCAAGUGGAACACCAGUGGCGAAGGCGAGUCUCUGGACAUUGCCUGAUGCUGAGGCACGAAAGCCAGGGGAGCAAACGGG